CCACCCGACGCCCGGAUGGCUGCCUUAAAAAAACUAUCGUUUUGAACAGGUGCCUGAGCAGGAGGAGAAGCCGGGAGAGGACGGCGACGGUGCCAUGGAGCUCCUUCCCCACAACCACGCACUUGUAGAGGAGCUCCUUCUCCGUCAUCGUAUCUGGCCGCCGACCCGGCAGCAGCCACAGCCUUGGAGUUCUCCUCGAGCAUCUGAAACACUCGCCCACCUCCACCCAUGGCGACCCCCUCUCUUUCACCUCCACCUAUGGCAACCCUGCUGCGGGAGAUCUCAAGUCCCCAACAACAAGAACAGGAACACGAGCCUCCUCUCGACCAGGAUAUGAAUCCCUCCUCCCUUUCUCUUCUCCCUUGUUCUCGCCAUCUGAUUUGUGCAGUCUGUGCAGUUGCCAAGCUCUUCCGGUUGCUUGUGUGAAGGGGUUUAAUUUGGUUCCCCCUGUUUUCUACCAAGCAAGGUGACGACCUCUCCCCCCCUCUGUUCAAGUUAUUCAUUAGAGAAUAAAUUUGGGAGCAGAAUCAUGUGUAUGUAAUGAGAGGAUAAUCACCCUGAUGUAUACAUAUUUCCAGAGCCGGAUGUCACAGCCAUAUCGCCGACUCACACCUGACGUUGCAAAGUGUGCUACAACUGGUUUCUAUAAGCCAAGGAGGCAUUGACGGGCAAAGCCAUCCAAACCAACAUCUUUCCCACCCCGGAGCUCCAAAUUUGGUGCCCCAACGUUGGCUGAUUCGAACAAGGUCCUUGGUGUAGCAGACACGGAGGAAAAUGCGGUACCGCACACCCGAACUGUCGAGCUCAAUGAGGACAUCAUCGAGUACCCCAAUAUGGAUGGCGAUGACGACGACCCGCAUAAGGUUGCCCUCUUUCCAAUUUAAAAACGAGCAGCAAAUUCCAACAUCUAUGUGAUCAUCCAUAUGCCAUGGAACUGUAGCUUUUCUCUGUACUUUCAUGAUAUAGGUGUUUAUUUCAUAUAUAAUACUAAGCCAUGCAUCCAUGUCCCAAAAGAGUGUUAGAGGCGAACAUGGUCCUUCAAUUCUUUAGGAUUCAACCUCAUAUUUUUAACCAGAGGUCAUAAAAGGCAAUUCUUGUUUGUAUUCCACCUUGGUAGUCUUAACUAUUCACUUUUUAUGUUUUUAUAGUUUGUCAGUUAUGUUUUUGUAGUAUAGAAUAUUUUACUAUAAUUUUAACACUGUUUGCAUAUCGUGGAAGUGUUUAUUCAAUAUGGCACAAAAAUUUAGCACAUAAAGAAGAUGCGUGUUGUUCCAAAGUGGAUACUUUUUCUCUUUGCUUGUUAAGUUUGCGAUACAACAAUUAUUGUUGCCACUGAUCUGCUCAGGUCCAAUUCCUUAUUUGUAUAGUUUUCCAUUCUAGAGUAAUAGACUUUAUCCAUUGCUGAGAUGUUGAUAGCACGGUGACAUCUUUAGCUCAUGUUUAAUCUUGCGAGAACUAAGCUGGUUUAUGAAAUGUUUGGCGCGCAUGUCAUCUAUGCCAUGUAGAAAAUGUUAAAUCCCCUCUACAUUUUCUUCUUAUUAUUAAUCUAAUGAUUUGUCAAUUUGUUUUUGACUUCUACACAU